rnacentral:rRNA from 1 species
CCUGCUCAAUGAAUAUUAAAUAGCCGCAACAACCUGUGCUAAGGUAGCAUAAUCAUUAGCCACCUGAUUAGUGGAUAGUAUGAAAGACCCAACGAAUAGAAAAAAGUAUCCCACACCCAAAAUAAAACUACUAAAAGAGUAAAAAAGCUCCAACACACUCACAGGACGACAAGACCCUGUCAAACUUCACUCAAACAGUUAGACUGGGGCGGUCAUUAAAAAAACCUUAACACAACCACACACCAAAAACCUAAUACCUUAAUAUACCAAGUUACUGCAGGGAUAACAGUGCUACAGCUCACCAGAGCCCACAUCCAAUGAGCCACCUACAACCUCGAUGUUGAAUUAAUAACCUUACUCAGAGCAACCUCUAGUAAAGAAAAGUCCGUUCGACUAAUAAAAAAUUACAU